GUGGGGUGAUGGCCUACCAAGGCGACGACGGGUAGCCGGCCUGAGAGGGCGACCGGCCACACUGGGACUGAGACACGGCCCAGACUCCUACGGGAGGCAGCAGUGGGGAAUAUUGCACAAUGGGCGGAAGCCUGAUGCAGCGACGCCGCGUGAGGGAUGACGGCCUUCGGGUUGUAAACCUCUUUCAGCAGGGACGAAGCGAGAGUGACGGUACCUGCAGAAGAAGCACCGGCCAACUACGUGCCAGCAGCCGCGGUAAGACGUAGGGUGCGAGCGUUGUCCGGAUUUAUUGGGCGUAAAGAGCUCGUAGGCGGCUUGUCGCGUCGACCGUGAAAACUUGGGGCUCAACCCCAAGCCUGCGGUCGAUACGGGCAGGCUAGAGUUCGGUAGGGGAGACUGGAAUUCCUGGUGUAGCGGUGAAAUGCGCAGAUAUCAGGAGGAACACCGGUGGCGAAGGCGGGUCUCUGGGCCGAUACUGACGCUGAGGAGCGAAAGCGUGGGGAGCGAACAGGAUUAGAUACCCUGGUAGUCCACGCUGUAAACGUUGGGCGCUAGGUGUGGGGGGCCUCUCCGGUUUCCUGUGCCGCAGCUAACGCAUUAAGCGCCCCGCCUGGGGAGUACGG
rnacentral:rRNA from 1 species